CCUACGGGCGGCUGCAGUGGGGAAUAUUGGACAAUGGGGGGAACCCUGAUCCAGCCAUGCCGCGUGUGUGAAGAAGGCCCUCGGGUUGUAAAGCACUUUCAGUGAGGAAGAACGCCUGGUGGUUAAUACCCAUCAGGAAAGACAUCACUCACAGAAGAAGCACCGGCUAACUCCGUGCCAGCAGCCGCGGUAAUACGGAGGGUGCGAGCGUUAAUCGGAAUUACUGGGCGUAAAGCGCGCGUAGGUGGCUUGAUAAGCCGGUUGUGAAAGCCCCGGGCUCAACCUGGGAACGGCAUCCGGAACUGUCAAGCUAGAGUGUAGGAGAGGAAGGUAGAAUUCCCGGUGUAGCGGUGAAAUGCGUAGAGAUCGGGAGGAAUACCAGUGGCGAAGGCGGCCUUCUGGACUGACACUGACACUGAGGUGCGAAAGCGUGGGUAGCAAACAGGAUUAGAUCCCCAGUAGUC
rnacentral:rRNA from 1 species